rnacentral:rRNA from 1 species
UACGUAGGGACCAAGCGUUGUUCGGAAUUACUGGGCGUAAAGGGCGCGUAGGCGGCCUGCUAAGUCACACGUGAAAUCCCUCGGCUCAACCGGGGAACUGCGUGUGAUACUGGCGGGCUUGAAUUCGGGAGAGGGAUGUGGAAUUCCAGGUGUAGCGGUGAAAUGCGUAGAUAUCUGGAGGAACACCGGUGGCGAAGGCGGCAUCCUGGACCGAGAUUGACGCUGAGGCGCGAAAGCUAGGGGAGCAAACGGGG